rnacentral:rRNA from 1 species
GGGCAAGCGUUGUUCGGAAUUACUGGGCGUAAAGGGCGCGUAGGCGGCCCGCUAAGUCGAACGUGAAAUCCCCAGGCUUAACCUGGGAACUGCGUCCGAUACUGGCAGGCUUGAAUCCGGGAGAGGGAUGUGGAAUUCCAGGUGUAGCGGUGAAAUGCGUAGAUAUCUGGAGGAACACCGGUGGCGAAGGCGGCAUCCUGGACCGGCAUUGACGCUGAGGCGCGAAAGCUAGGGGAGCAAACGGG